AGGAUAAGGCUUGACGGUUAUAACUAAGAUGUGGCCUUGACUAGCCUUAAAAAGUUACCAUUUUAAACUUGCUAUUGGAUGCUUACUGUGCUGGGUUUCUGAACGUUUCAUAAGCAUAACAUUACUUCAUUUGCUGAUGUUGAUGUGGCAAAUUUUGGCGAACUCCUAUAGAUACUAUUAAAGCAAAAUUUUAAAGCAUAUGUUGAGAUACUAUAAAUUAUUGACAAUAAAAAAACGUUAGCAACUUAUGUAAAGUGAAAAAAAUACAAAUACAACCUAAAAGUCUCUAGACAACUCAAGAUUGGUGAAGCUUGGAGGGGGAAACAUGGCAAUAAGUCUUAAGAAGUAUGCUAGAUAUAAACAUGAGCAAUUGUUACCAUGUUUUACUUGUCAUGAAUGAACUAAUUAUUAACAUCUUAGAGGAGGCUCCAAGGUUCGCCGUACCGGUACCGAACCCCGUAUCGGUGCCGCACAGGCGUACCGAGUGUCGAUACGGUAUGGUACGCGGUACGCCAGGCGUACCGAUACCAGUAUCCAUCGGUACGGGUACGGUACGUCCGGUACCGACCGGUACAGCAUACCAUGGGAGGCUCCAGAUGUACAUUUCCUGUUGAUGAUGCGAUGUUGGUCAAUGAGACUAAGCUUGUGCUGGGCAUUAGAUUGUAAUUAUGGAAGGAAAUCCAGAUGAAAAAGGAUCUAAGAAUUGAUAGAAAUGGAAGAAGUCAAGGAUGGAGUCAAAAUCAGGUCACAAGAGAACCUAAAAAGAAACCUAUCUUUCACUACUUUGGAUCCAUUUAAUAGGAUAGCAAGAUCUUAUACGCCAAGAGCAAGAUUUUUCAAGGAGCUGAAGACUGGAAGAAAGCAAAGGACAACUUCAUGGUUCGUAGUGAUGUAGGAGGUGGUAAUAAGAGCAUGGAUCCACAUGGAUUUGGCACCAUAUUUUGGUGAACUGUUUUACAUAAUAUAUAUGUAUGUUUAUAUAUAUGAACAUGUAUAUACAUACAUGUACAUACAUGUGUAUAUGUAUGUAUAU
rnacentral:lncRNA from 1 species